UGUGGCAAACCAAGAGCCAUCUGGUAGCACUAGGCUCCCUACUGCCUGUGAGGCGGAGUUGGCAUAUGUGUGUAUAAGCAGGCAUUUGGGAUGGCACGGACCAAGCUGCAAGAUGUCUGGGAAUCCUGGACAAAUGCUCAGUACGUGGACAGACUGACUGUACCUCAUAGCCUUUUUUUGCCAUCACUCCCUGACACAUCUAGGGGCCUGGAGGGGGACAAAUCUCUCCCUCUGGUGUUGCACAGUUUGGUUUGUACAGACAUGAAAAGGAGGGGACAGUCCUUAGUGAGGUCUCCCUUUUCCUGCCUUAGCCACCACGGUGGGGGAUUACAUUCCAAAGGGAGGACCAAAAGUGUUGGUCCUGCACAUCAUUUCUAGGGACUGCCUGCUGCCUCCUUGCAGAUGUUGUGGGAAAGAUGCAGGACUGAGAAGUUUCUGGUUGGAUAAACAGCAACUGAAUCAGCCAGCAGAAAGAAAAACCUUCCUAAAAAGCUGAA